GUUGGCUUAGAAGCAGCCAUACAUUAAAAGAGUGCGUAAUAGCUCACUGGUCGAGAGGUCCUGCGCCGAAAAUGUCCGGGGCUGAAACGCGCCACCGAAACUAAGGAACCGAAAGGUUGGUAGAGGAGCAUUGCAUGCGGGAAGAAGCAGUACCGUAAGGAGCUGUGGACUGCAUGGAAGAGAGAAUGCCGGAAUGAGUAGCGAGAAUAAGGUGAGAAUCCUUAUGGCCGAAUAUCCAAGGUUUCCAGAGUAAAGCUGAUCUGCUCUGGGUAAGUCGGGGCCUAAGGCGAGGUCGAAAGACGUAGUCGAUGGAUAACAGGUUGAAAUUCCUGUACUAUCCUGUAACAGAACUGUGGGGACGCAGACAGAGAGCACAAGCCGGGAAUGGAAAGACCGGUGCAAGCGAGGUAGGAGUACAUCAGGCAAAUCCGGUGUGCAAUCCGAAGACGUGAUGCGGAUCGAAAAGAAGUAGAGAAGUGUGUGAGCUGGCUGCCAAGAAAAGCCGCUAUUGUUUACAGGAUACCCGUACCGUAAACCGACACAGGUGGAUGAGGAGAGAAUCCUAAGGCCGACGGGAGAAGCAUUGUUAAGGAACUCGGCAAAAUGACUCCGUAACUUCGGGAGAAGGAGUGCCAUGCGAAUGGCCGCAGAGAAUUGGCCCAAGCAACUGUUUAGCAAAAACACAGGUCUAUGCGAAACCGAAAGGUGAGGUAUAUGGGCUGACGCCUGCCCGGUGCUGGAAGGUUAAGGGGAGAGGUUAGCGCAAGCGAAGCUUUGAACUUAAGCCCCAGUAAACGGCGGCCGUAACUAUAACGGUCCUAAGGUAGCGAAAUUCCUUGUCGGGUAAGUUCCGACCCGCACGAAAGGCGUAAUGAUUUGGGCACUGUCUCAACAAUGCACCCGGUGAAAUUGAAAUACCAGUGAAGAUGCUGGUUACCUGCGCCAGGACGGAAAGACCCCAUGGAGCUUUACUCUAGCUUGAUACUGGGAUUCGGUAUUGCAUGUACAGGAUAGGUGGGAGACUAAGAGGUGAUGACGCCAGUUGUCACGGAGUCGAUGUUGGGAUACCACCCCUGCAGUACUGGGUUUCUAACCUGCGGCCGUAACCCGGCCGGGGGACAAUGUCUGGUGGGGAGUUUGACUGGGGCGGUCGCCUCCGAAAGGGUAUCGGAGGCGCUCAAAGGUUCCCUCAGAAUGGUUGGAAACCAUUCGAAGAGUGCAAAGGCAGAAGGGAGCUUGACUGCGACACCGACGG
rnacentral:rRNA from 1 species